GUCACCAUAUUCAACUAUUUCUGGCUGAAUAAUAAGAGCUUUAGUUAUCUGAAGUCAAAGUACAAACUGAAAUGUUACUGCCCUGGAAAGCUGGCGUUAGCUAGUGUCACAGUAUAAAUCUCCUUCUCUUUGGCUUCUAUAAAUUACUAGGAGAGUUAAAUUCUUAUGACAGCACUGUCAGAGUCCAAUCUGGUGCCAGCAGACUUUUCUCAAUGCAGCUCUUCAGUCUCGUCUUCAAGAUGCAAUUCCUGGGGAGAUGUCACUAAGCAAAAAUGCGAUAUGCAGAGACCUCUAGAGACUGGAAAGCCAAACUACACUUAAUGACAUGCAGAUGCUGUUCAGCAGUGUGUAGUAAUGAGAUCAUUGGCAGAUACAGAGCAGACUAUGAAGAGAAUAAGUGUGUUACUGGAUUUAUGACAAAAGUGAAGGAUUGGAAAUGCCAUCCUUGUUGCAGUACUGCCUGGAUUCAGGUCUUACAGGGAACUGGAAAUGUGGAAGGGAACGGCUGCUCUGAUUAUAGUCACUGUGUGACAAUGAGCUUUGUAUGGUAAGAAAGUCAAUGGAUGCAGUGAAACUUAAGCUCUUCAGGUAUUUCUG
rnacentral:lncRNA from 1 species